CAUGAAAGAACUUUGUAGAACUUUAUUUUUGUUUGUUUUGGAACAUAUUGGGGAAGAAAAAAAAAAUUAUGUAACUAUUUGGACUAAAAUCCUGGAAGAACAUGCACAAACCAUCACCUGAUGACAUCAAAUAAAACAUAAAGAUAGAAAGAAAAUGUAGGAAAACAGGAUAAUAAAAUAACAUGAAGAAUUCCAAGCAGCAGGCAAAAGACAUUUUAGCAGUAUUUGCAUUCCCAUUCAAUCAACUUUCAUGAUGAACAGGAGUUUUGUGUCAUAGUAACAAAAGGGUGAUUAUGACAAAGGCAAAGAAAACCAUACCUUUGGCAGUAAAUGGAGCCAGCAGCCAUUUUGCACAACCGUCAAACUCUCACAAGGAUCAUCAAAAAUAAAGAGUACAGGACAACUGGGGUUAAGGCAACUUGAGCCCUCUCUUAACGUUCACUCACAUGCCCAACUGCAGUGCUACAGUAACUGAUUCAACACACACAAACAAACACACACACCCAAAAAGGCAUGUGCAGUAUUUUGCACUCAAUUAAUUCUGUAAUACAGAACCGUUCAAAUCAGACUGUCUACAAUGACAAAGCCGACAAUGGGUAGUCAGCUCACAAGUCCAGAGAAUGUUCUGGAAAGCCUUCUAGUAGACAGUGUGGUAAAUUAUCCCACAACAGCAACACCACCUGACAGUGGUCCUGGAUCCAUUACAAUUCCUUGCAAAGACACGUCAGAUGCACCACCCCCGGGACCAAAUCUUAAGUUGCAUAACCUCAUUAUUUCAAACGGCAGCACACCUUCUUACGACCCCAAAACACACAGCAUUAUGCAGCACUGGGAUCGCCUUCUGCUUAUUCAUAGGUCCGUGUGACACUCAAACUCUGAGCCUGAAGGAAAUACCCAGCAACAAAGCAGAAAUGGGCCAUUUUGGUCCAAUCUCUUUCUCCAUUUGUGUAUUCAUAUUUGCUGACAGAUGAUGGUCUUCGUCAGCUCCAAGUAAAAGUUGAGUGCCCACAUAUAGGGUCCCUCUCAGCCUCACAAUAGAGGAAUAAUAACCGUUCAGUUAAGAAAAUGCACACACACACACACACACACACAAACAAACAAACAUACAUCCACACAAAUGCUGGUCUUUGUAUGAAAUACAAAUCAGAACAAAAAUCCAGCAUUUACAAGGAGCAAACAUUUAAAAAAAAAAAAAAAA
ensembl:lncRNA